rnacentral:sRNA from 1 species
AUGGUCCUCCACAUCCCCAGAGUCCCACCAUGAAUGAAUUUCUCACUCAUUAUUCUCUGAUCUACAGGGUGAACCUGGCAGCCCUGGUGAAAAUGGAGCUCCUGGUCAGAUGGUGAGUGUGCCCAGUUCCAGAGGGCAGGGAUGGGGCAGGAGGCAGGGGCAAGAUGGAGGCCUGGGGGAACAAGGCUGUCUCCCAUCUCAUCUGACUUCUCUUGGUUUGGUUGUCAGGGCCCCCGUGGUCUGCCUGGUGAGAGAGGUCGCCCUGGAGCCCCUGGCCCUGCUGGUGCUCGUGGAAAUGAUGGUGCUACUGGUGCUGCCGGGCCCCCUGUGAGUGUGGCCUGUAGGCCUCAGGGCCUGGGAGUGGGGAGGGGUCUCAGUGUCUGCUCUUGGGGCUGACAAUGGG